rnacentral:rRNA from 1 species
GACGUAGGGCGCGAGCGUUGUCCGGAUUUAUUGGGCGUAAAGAGCUCGUAGGCGGCUUGUCGCGUCGACUGUGAAAACCCGUGGCUCAACCAUGUGGUCUGCAGUCGAUACGGGCAGGCUAGAAUUCGGUAGGGGAGACUGGAAUUCCUGGUGUAGCGGUGAAAUGCGCAGAUAUCAGGAGGAACACCUAUGGCGAAGGCAGCUCUCUGGGACGGUACUGACGCUGAGACGCGAAAGCGUGGGGAGCGAACAGG